GACCUCGGAUCAGGUAGGGAUACCCGCUGAACUUAAGCAUAUCAAUAAGCGGAGGAAAAGAAACCAACCGGGAUUGCCUCAGUAACGGCGAGUGAAGCGGCAAGAGCUCAAAUUUGAAAUCUGGCCCCCUCGGGGUCCGAGUUGUAAUUUGCAGAGGAUGCUUCGGGUGCGGCCCC
rnacentral:rRNA from 1 species